AACGAACGCUGGCGGCAGGCCUAACACAUGCAAGUCGAGCGAACCUUCGGGUUAGCGGCGGACGGGUGAGUAACGCGUGGGAAUAUGCCCUUUGGUACGGAAUAGCCUCGGGAAACUGAGAGUAAUACCGUAUGUGCCCUUCGGGGGAAAGAUUUAUCGCCAAAGGAUUAGCCCGCGUUGGAUUAGGUAGUUGGUGGGGUAAUGGCCUACCAAGCCGACGAUCCAUAGCUGGUUUGAGAGGAUGAUCAGCCACACUGGGACUGAGACACGGCCCAGACUCCUACGGGAGGCAGCAGUGGGGAAUCUUAGACAAUGGGGGCAACCCUGAUCUAGCCAUGCCGCGUGAGUGAUGAAGGCCUUAGGGUUGUAAAGCUCUUUCAGCUGGGAAGAUAAUGACGGUACCAGCAGAAGAAGCCCCGGCUAACCCCGUGCCAGCCGCCGCGGUAA
rnacentral:rRNA from 1 species